rnacentral:lncRNA from 1 species
AGCCAUGCUGUGGAAGCCAUCCCACAUAUGAGGUAGAGGAAGAUGGGCACAGAUGUUAGCUCAGGGCCAGUCUUCCUCAGCAAAAACAGGGGGAUUGGCAGGAGUUAGCUCAGGGCUAAUCUUCCUCAAAAAAAAAAAAAAAGUAGGAGGGAGUAAGGAGAAAUAAACACUCAAACUUCUCUCUCUUCUCAUCCCCUGUUCUCCUGCUACUUUCUUCCAACGGCUUAACCCAACAAAAAUUCAGAGGACAUGGAAGCCUGCGUGAUGAAUUCUAUUUUGGUCAGCUUCUACGGUCACUGGGGAGGAGAGAGAAAGAAGGUCCAGUGGUUGAUGAUUGCUAUGUGGAUAUCAACUUUGAGUUGGGAUCUCAGCCUGUUUCUUUCCCUUCUUUUCACAAUCUCAAGAUGGAUGCAGCAGUUAUGGGCAUCAUCUCCUCUCAAGACCUCAUAAAAGUCAGAAAUUGGAAAAUCAUCAUGGAUGAAGUAGAGAGAAGAGUUCUCCAGAGCAUUUCAAACAGCCAAGCAGUGAGGCCUUACUGCACAUGGCCAAACAGGAGUCAAGAAUCAGAUAGUUAUAAAUCGAGGAACCACGUCCAAUAUCAGACAACAGGGUGUGGUGGUAGGUGCUGCAAACUGGAGAACGGAUGCCCCACUUAAAGAUAUUAAAUUUAAAAAGAAAAUUAAAGCUGCCAGAAGGUGGGGAACAGAACUAAGGCAAAGAGCUCUAGAGCUACUCCUUGGCUGCCAUCAUCAUAUGGCAUAUGUACCCACAGUAGAGACGCAGGACUCAGGCCAUAAUCACUAAGAAGGAUCUCUUCCCCUGUGCCUCAAUGCCCAUGUCAAGGAUAAACUCUCCCACCCUAGGAGGUCACCAACAUUCAUCUGUAGUCCUGGGCUUCUUGAACAAAUGACUCUCUUUUCCUUGGCUGACCUGCCAGUCUUAAAAUAGUCCAUGACCCCAACUGGUCUCCCUGCGCAGGGUCCAGGGCCUUUCUUUCCAUCUUCCAGCCUAUCCACAUAGACUUUCAAGAAGUAUGGCUCAUUUGGCCCUCUCAUUAUUGGAUUCAGUGGUUACAACCCAAGCUCCUUCCAGAAAUCCUCCCUAGGAAAUCCUGCUCCACCUUUAUUGAAAAAGAAUCAAAUAGACCCCAAGAAAUGAUUGCUGGGAAUAUUUUGGAGCAGAAAAGCAAAUUAGCCUCUCCCAUUGCCAUCUUCUAAUUCCACCUCUAAAAUUCCACACUGCUAUUUCUGACAUUGUCUUUCUUCAUGUAAAAUAAUUUCUACUACUAACUGAAUAAAAUGGGCAAGAUUAAUUCUGAGGGUUUUUAAAAACUAAAUUUGAGUUUGAGCCU